rnacentral:rRNA from 1 species
AGUAACGCGUGAGGAACCUGCCCUUCAGAGGGGGACAACAGUUGGAAACGACUGCUAAUACCGCAUGAUACAUUUGAAUCGCAUGGUUUGAAUGUCAAAGAUUUAUCGCUGAAGGAUGGCCUCGCGUCUGAUUAGCUAGUUGGUGGGGUAACGGCCCACCAAGGCGACGAUCAGUAGCCGGACUGAGAGGUUGGCCGGCCACGUUGGGACUGAGAUACGGCCCAGACUCCUACGGAAGGCAGCAG